rnacentral:rRNA from 1 species
AGUGAACGCUGGCGGUAUGCCUAACACAUGCAAGUCGAGCGGCAGCACAGUAAGAGCUUGCUCUUACGGGUGGCGAGUGGCGGACGGGUGAGGAAUACAUCGGAAUCUACUUUUUCGUGGGGGAUAACGUAGGGAAACUUACGCUAAUACCGCAUACGACCUACGGGUGAAAGCAGGGGAUCUUCGGACCUUGCGCGAUUGAAUGAGCCGAUGUCGGAUUAGCUAGUUGGCGGGGUAAAGGCCCACCAAGGCGACGAUACGUAGCUGGUCUGAGAGGAUGAUCAGCCACGCUGGAACUGAGACACGGUCCAGACUCCUACGGGAGGCAGCAGUGGGGAAUAUUGGACAAUGGGCGCAAGCCUGAUCCAGCCAUGCCGCGUGGGUGAAGAAGGCCUUCGGGCUGUAAAGCCCUUUUGUUGGGAAAGAAAAGCUGCAGGUUAAUACCCGGCUGUUCUGACGGUACCCAAAGAAUAAGCACCGGCUAACUACGUG